rnacentral:rRNA from 1 species
AUUGAACGCUGGCGGCAAGCCUAACACAUGCAAGUCGAACGAGUGGCGGACGGGUGAGUAAUGUCUGGGAAACUGCCUGAUGGAGGGGGUUAUCUACUGGAAACGGUAGCUAAUACCGCAUACCAUCGGAUGUGCCCAGAUGGGAUUAGCUAGUAGGUGGGGUAAAGGCUCACCUAGGCGCCGAUCCCUAGCUGGUCUGAGAGGAUGACCAGCCACACUGGAACUGUGACACGGUCCAGACUCCUACGGGAGGCAGCAGUGGGUAAUAUUGCACAAUGUGCGCGAGCCUGAUACAGCCAUGCCGCGGGUAUGAAGGAGGCUUUCGGGUUUUAAAGUACUUUCAGCGGGGAGGCGUUACCCGCAGAAGAAGCACCGGCAAACUCCGGACCAGCGGCCGCGGUAAUUC